GGCUCAGGACGAACGCUGGCGGCGUGCCUAAUACAUGCAAGUAGAACGCUGAGGACUGGUGCUUGCACUGGUCUAAGGAGUUGCGAACGGGUGAGUAACGCGUAGGUAACCUACCUCAUAGCGGGGGAUAACUAUUGGAAACGAUAGCUAAUACCGCAUGACAAUAGGGUACACAUGUACCCUAUUUAAAAGGGGCAAAUGCUUCACUAUGAGAUGGACCUGCGUUGUAUUAGCUAGUUGGUAAGGUAACGGCUUACCAAGGCGACGAUACAUAGCCGACCUGAGAGGGUGAUCGGCCACACUGGGACUGAGACACGGCCCAGACUCCUACGGGAGGCAGCAGUAGGGAAUCUUCGGCAAUGGGGGGAACCCUGACCGAGCAACGCCGCGUGAGUGAAGAAGGUUUUCGGAUCGUAAAGCUCUGUUGUUAGAGAAGAACGGUAA
rnacentral:rRNA from 1 species